rfam:Diplodia corticola strain CBS 112549 scaffold74, whole genome shotgun sequence.
GAGAGCCGUAUGAUGGGAAACUAUCACGUACGGUUCGGGAAAAGGUGAUCGUUCCCCUUGCGAAUAAAUAGGGAGCGAUUUCCUAGUUCAC